UUCUGGUUGAUCCUGCCGGACCUGACUGCUAUCGGAUUGAUACUAAGCCAUGCUAGUCUUUGUAGUAAUACAAGGCAUACGGCUCAGUAACGCGUAGUCAACCUACCCUAUGGACGGGGAUAAUCUCGGGAAACUGAGCAUAAUACCCGGCAGACCACUUCUCCUGGAAUGGUUAGUGGUUAAAAUGAUUCGUCGCCAUAGGAUGGGACUGCGGCCUAUCAGCUUGUUGGUGAGGUAAUGGCCCACCAAGGCGAUUACAGGUACGGGCUCUGAGAGGAGAAGCCCGGAGAUGGGUACUGAGACAAGGACCCAGGCCCUAUGGGGCGCAGCAGGCGAGAAAACUUUGCAAUGUGCGAAAGCACGACAAGGUUAAUCCGAGUGAUUUCUGCUAAAGGAAUCUUUUGUUAGUUCUAAAAAUACUAGUGAAUAAGGGGUGGGCAAGUUCUGGUGUCAGCCGCCGCGGUAAAACCAGCACCUCAAGUGGUCAGGAGGAUUAUUGGGCCUAAAGCAUCCGUAGCCUGUUCUAUAAGUUUGCGGUUAAAUCCAUACGCUCAACGUAUGGGCUGCCGUAAAUACUGUAGAACUAGGGAGUGGGAGAGGUAGACGGUACUCGAUAGGAAGGGGUAAAAUCCUUUGAUCUAUUGAUGACCACCUGUGGCGAAGGCGGUCUACCAGAACACGUUCGACGGUGAGGGAUGAAAGCUGGGGGAGCAAACCGGAUUAGAUACCCGGGUAGUCCCAGCUGUAAACGAUGCAGACUCGAUGAUGCAAUGGCAUAGAGCUAUUGCAGUAUCGCAGGGAAGCCGUUAAGUCUGCCGCCUGGGAAGUACGUACGCAAGUAUGAAACUUAAAGGAAUUGGCGGGGGAGCACCACAAGGGGUGAAGCCUGCGGUUCAAUUGGACUCAACGCCGGAA
rnacentral:rRNA from 1 species